rnacentral:rRNA from 1 species
AUGUUGAACUCCUUGAUUCCAGCCAUUGCAAUGUCUGUUGAGGCAUUGCCAACUGCUUCUGUCGUGUGGAGCAUGCUGUCCACGUGGUAUUCCGGUAAGGGAAACCCGAUGCUCAUGUCUCAAACUGAAGACAAGAUUCAUGCUGUUCGUCAAGGUGACAAAAGCGUGCUGGUGUAUGUGAAUGAGCUGCAACACCUUUGGGUAGAUCUGGAUCAGUGUGAUCCCCUUGAGAUUCCACAUGCAGAGUCCAUGGAAAUUGCCAGGAAGUGGGUUGAGCGCAGGCGUGUGGUAUGUGUGUGUCUUUAUUAG